GCGGCAGGCUUACACAUGCAAGUCGAGGGGUAAUCACGCUUUCGGGCGUGAACGACCGGCGCACGGGUGAGUAACGCGUAUGGAACUUUCCUGCAACAGGAGAAUAGCCCGGGGAAACCCGGAUUAAUGCUCCAUAAAGCUUAUAGGUGGCAUCACCGAUAAGUUAAAGCUUUGGCGGUUGCAGAUGGCCAUGCGUACCAUUAGUUAGUUGGUGAGGUAACGGCUCACCAAGGCGACGAUGGUUAGGGGUCCUGAGAGGGUCAUCCCCCACACUGGAACUGAGACACGGUCCAGACUCCUACGGGAGGCAGCAGUGAGGAAUAUUGGUCAAUGGGCGAGAGCCUGAACCAGCCAUGCCGCGUGCAGGAAGACAGCCCUACGGGUUGUAAACUGCUUUUCUGGCGGAAGAAAGUACCGCACUUGUGCGGUAUUGACGGUACGCCAGGAAUAAGCAUCGGCUAACUCCGUGCCAGCAGCCGCGGUAAUACGGAGGAUGCAAGCGUUAUCCGGAUUCAUUGGGUUUAAAGGGUGCGCAGGCGGUGGUAUAAGUCAGUGGUGAAAGCCCGGGGCUCAACUCCGGGAUUGCCAUUGAAACUGUAUCACUUGAGUGUAGUCGAGGACGGCGGAAUGAGUUAUGUAGCGGUGAAAUGCAUAGAUAUAACUCAGAACACCGAUUACGGAGGCAGCUGUCUAGGCUACGACUGACGCUGAGGCACGAAAGCGUGGGGAGCGAACAGGAUUAGAUACCCUGGUAGUCCACGCUGUAAACGAUGAUCACUCGCUGUUGGUUACCCAGUAACUAGUGGCUGAGGGAAACCAUUAAGUGAUCCACCUGGGGAGUACGUCGGCAACGAUGAAACUCAAAGGAAUUGACGGGGGCCCGCACAAGCGGAGGAACAUGUGGUUUAAUUCGAUGAUACGCGAGGAACCUUACCUGGGCUUAAAUGCAGGCUGCAUUCCGGUGAAAGCCGGAUUUCCUACGGGACCGCCUGCAAGGUGCUGCAUGGUUGUCGUCAGCUCGUGCCGUGAGGUGUCGGGUUAAGUCCCAUAACGAGCGCAACCCUUAUCGCUAGUUGCCAGCAUGUGAUGGUGGGGACUCUAGCGAGACUGCCGGUGUAAACCGGAGGAAGGUGGGGAUGACGUCAAAUCAGCACGGCCCUUACGCCCAGGGCUACACACGUGUUACAAUGGCCGGUACAGAGAGCAGCCACCUGGCGAUAGGGCGCUAAUCUCGAAAGCCGGUCCCAGUUCGGAUCGGAGUCUGCAAUUCGACUCCGUGAAGGUGGAUUCGCUAGUAAUCGCGCAUCAGCCAUGGCGCGGUGAAUAAGUUCCCGGGCCUUGUACACACCGCCCGUCAAGCCAUGGAAGCCGGGGGUACCUGAAGUCCGUAACCGAGAGGAG
rnacentral:rRNA from 1 species